rnacentral:rRNA from 1 species
AUUGAACGCUGGCGGCAUGCUUUACACAUGCAAGUCGAACGGUAACAGGCCGCAAGGUGCUGACGAGUGGCGAACGGGUGAGUAAUGCAUCGGAACGUGCCCAGUCGUGGGGGAUAACGCAGCGAAAGCUGUGCUAAUACCGCAUACGAUCUAUGGAUGAAAGCGGGGGACCGUAAGGCCUCGCGCGAUUGGAGCGGCCGAUGUCAGAUUAGGUAGUUGGUGGGGUAAAGGCCCACCAAGCCAACGAUCUGUAGCUGGUCUGAGAGGACGACCAGCCACACUGGGACUGGGACACGGCCCAGACUCCUACGGGAGGCAGCAGUGGGGAAUUUUGGACAAUGGGCGCAAGCCUGAUCCAGCAAUGCCGCGUGCAGGAAGAAGGCCUUCGGGUUGUAAACUGCUUUUGUACGGAACGAAACAGUCUGGGUUAAUACCCUGGGCUAAUGACGGUACCGUAAGAAUAAGCACCGGCUAACUACGUGCCAGCAGCCGCCGUAACAC